GACGAACGCUGGCGGCGUGCUUAACACAUGCAAGUCGAACGGAAAGGCCCCCACCUUGGUGGGGGUGCUCGAGUGGCGAACGGGUGAGUAACACGUGGGUGAUCUGCCCUGUACUUCGGGAUAAGCUUGGGAAACUGGGUCUAAUACCGGAUAGGACCAUGGUUUAGUGUCUCAUGGUGGAAAAAUUAUUGUUUUGGUGCAGGAUGAGCUCGCGGCCUAUCAGCUUGUUGGUGGGGUAAUGGCCUACCAAGGCGUCGACGGGUAGCCGGCCUGAGAGGGUGGACGGCCACAUUGGGACUGAGAUACGGCCCAGACUCCUACGGGAGGCAGCAGUGGGGAAUAUUGCACAAUGGGCGCAAGCCUGAUGCAGCGACGCCGCGUGGGGAUGACGGCCUUCGGGUUGUAAACUCCUUUCGUUAGGGACGAAGCCACACCUUUUUUGGGUGUGGUGACGGUACCUUUGUUAAGAAGCACCGGCUAACUACGUG
rnacentral:rRNA from 1 species